rnacentral:misc_RNA from 1 species
AUGUGUGAUGAUUGCAGCUUGUGGAGGCCUGAUGUUUGGCUAUGAUGUUGGAGUUUCAGGCGGGGUUACAGCCAUGGAUGACUUCCUGGAAAAAUUUUUUCCUUCUGUUUAUGAAAGAAAGAAACAUGCCCACGAAAACAACUACUGCAAAUAUGAUAAUCAAUAUCUCCAAUUGUUCACGUCUUCCUUGUAUAUUGCGGCUCUAGUAGCCAGCUUUUUCGCUUCAAGGACUUGCACAAAAUAUGGCAGGAAGCCGACCAUGCUGCUUGCUUCUUUUUUCUUCACAGUAGGAGUUGCUUUUAGUGCCUUGGGAUUAAAUAUCGG